rnacentral:rRNA from 1 species
UACGUAGGGUGCAAGCGUUGUCCGGAAUUAUUGGGCGUAAAGGGCGCGCAGGCGGCCACGCACGUCCGUUGUGAAAUCGCCCGGCUCAACUGGGCGGGGUCAGCGGAUACGGCGUGGCUGGAGCAAGCUAGGGGGCAAUGGAAUUCCCGGUGUAGUGGUGGAAUGCGUAGAUAUCGGGAGGAACACCAGUGGCGAAGGCGGUUGCCUGGAGCUUUGCUGACGCUGAGGCGCGAAAGCGUGGGGAGCGAUCCGG